rnacentral:rRNA from 1 species
GUCCACGCCCUAAACGAUGUCGACUGGUUGUUGGGGGUUUGACACUCUCAGUAACGAAGCUAACGCGUGAAGUCGACCGCCUGGGGGAGUACGGCCGCAAGGUUAAAACUCAAAGGAAUUGACGGGGACCCGCACAAGCGGUGGAUUAUGUGGAUUAAUUCGAUGCAACGCGAAAACCUUACCUACCCUUGACAUGUCCGAGAGCCUGAAGAGAUUCAGGUGUGCCCGAAAGGGAAUCGGAACACAGGUGCUGCAUGGCUGUCGU